rnacentral:rRNA from 1 species
AUUGAACGCUGGCGGCAGGCCUAACACAUGCAAGUCGAGCGGAGCGGCGGACGGGGGAGGAAUGCCUAGGAAUGUGCCUGGGAGUGGGGGAUAACGUCCGGAAACGGGCGCGAAUACUGCAUACUAGCAGAGGAGGCUAGGUCGGAUUAGCUAGUGGGUGGGGUAAAGGCAUACCAAGGCGACGACCCGUAACUGGUCUGAGAGGAUGAUCAGUCACACUGGAACUGAGACACGGUCCAGACUCCUACGGGAGGCAGCAGUGGGGAAUAUUGGACAAUGGGCGCAAGCCUGAUCCAGCCAUGCCGCGUGUAUGAAGAAGGUCUUCGGAUUGUAAAGUACUUUAAGUUGGGAGGCGUUACCCACAGAAUAAGCACCGGCUAACUCCGUGCCAGCAGCCGCGGUAAUUC